GAAAAUUUUGGGGUUGAAAAGAUGAAUUUUUCUUACAAAAUAAAGGUUUCAUAUAAAGUCUAUGUACUAAACAUUAAUGGAAGAAUCUGUUAGAAACUAGUUAUGGAAGAUUUUAACGGGUAAUGGUGAUUUAAUCGCAUAUUAAAACUGAAUAAUUUAGUACAGAAAAUGACAGACAAUAAUAUAUUCAGGUGAAUAGCUGAAAUUUAUGGAAUUGAUUCUUUAGUUAUUAGUAAAAUAUUUUUAUUAACUUUUUUGGUCAGCAAUAUCCUUAAGAAACCUAAGAAGAUUACGUACUACUAGUCAAAAUAAACUCAAUAAAAACGCCACUAUGUUAAGUUUUUUUUUUGGCAUGAGUUUUUUUUUUCAUACACAGUAAAUGCCAAUCGGGCAACUUCGAUAAGUUUGGUGAGAAAAACGUAAAAGAACUUCAAAGUGCAACAUAAAUUAAUUGACGUUUAUUUUUGUUUGAAGUAAAACUGUCACUGCCAUUUAUAACCAUAAAUUAAAAAUUGUUGACCUAAAAUGAGUUUUAGUUAAAAAAGCUUCAAGUAAAAUGAUUCGAAGAAAACACUUUUUCAACAAAAAAAUUUAACAUAAUUUUUAGUAAUUAUCCGUUAAUGUUUUAGUUUUAGUAUAAAGUGAUUUUAUAUGAAAACCAACUUUAUAUAAAAACAACAUGAAUUUAUUUUAAAAGAAAGUAUUUAAUGGAAACUUUUUCAAGUAAAAAUAAUUAUAGUAAAACCAUUAUAUUAACUAGUGUAAAUUUCCAUCUCGUUCUAUCAUCAAAGUGACUGUACGUACUUAUUAAAUUAAAACCAUGGGAAGACAAAAGUAUAAAACAGACGAGUGUGAAUUAUACAAAUGACUGCUUCGUGUCAAAACCUUUUAGGAUUUGCAUGUUUAACAACUAACAUAAAGCGAUAUGAAAUUUAACAUUUAGACCAAGAAAACGAUAUGAAAAGUUGGUCACAAAUGUGAAGAACAAAGAAGUAGGUUGGUAUCUGAGAAAUCACAAAUAUUUUCCGUUAUUAUUCAUAUUUCCUUGGUUCAACAAAUUCAGCCUUCAACUUUGUUCUAAGGAGCCAGGCCACAAACUUUCAGCCAUCAUUAGUCUUCGUCUAAUCUGUCGAUUUUCAAUUGACUUCCUUUAUUAUUAUGCUCAGUUUCACUUCUAGGAAACGAACAAAAUCUUAGACCAUCAGCAUUGGUGAACCUCACUAUUCAGAUUUCCAAUGCUCCUAUUAUUAUUAUUUUAAUUUUAUUUUUGUUUUAUUUUAAAAAAAAAGAAUUAAUAUUCAUCUAAUUGCGAACCGCCACGUGGUGUUAGGCCCGCAGAACAGUAAUGAUACGGGGUCUUCUCAGCGACUUCGCACGAUCCGAGUUCAACACUAUUGAAAUAUUUUAAUAUUUUUUUUAUGGAAAACUGUCUAAACUUUUGCUAACACCCUUCAAUGCUGAUGCUCUUAUGCCCUAAACGGCAUGAAGCUUCCAAUAAUACUUUAUGACUUUCCAGGAAGGAUGGCACGUGUUACAUAAUUAUUGUCUCUAGCUCAACCAAUCUUUGACAUAUAAUUUACAAAGUAUAUUUACCAAUUUUUGUCAUGUAUUUGGUUUUUACCGCUUCUGUGUAUUUUUUUUAUCUUUUUGUUUCAUUGCCUGCAUCUGCUUCUAUAGAUCCGAUCAUGCCACCACCAGACCCCAACCCAAUAAUAAAGCCAUUAUCUUCCCCCAAGCCCCAAAAGUAUUUAGUGCCAUGCAUGGACAUUCAAGAUCAACAAGUCUUAGAAAAGCAAGAAGAUCUUUAUCCUAAUUCCUAAAAGAAUCAAGAACCUAGAAUAUUUUGCUAAGUCGAACACUCAAAAUUAAGUGAAAUAAAAGAGUUUAAAUAUAAUUUCUUGUAACAUAUUUAAUAUAUUUAUUAAACUAGUCCUUUUAAUUUUUCUUUUCUUUCAAAUUAGCUUAAAUCUUGUUUUUUAAUAAAUGAUAAUGUACAUUCUUAUUUAUGGUUUUUUGCUUUUUUUUUUUAAUUCGACAUUAGAAGAUCACUGGAGAAUAUAAAUUUAUAGUUUUGUAAUUGAUAGUUUAAAAUUCUAAUAAAAUAAGUGAAAUUGCAUCCCAUAUACAUAACUUUUCCCUUAAUUAACUAAAUACCCUAAAUCCCACAACAUCAUACCUUAGUUGUUAGACACACAACUUAUCACAUCAUGUGUAUUCACCUAAUCUAACUUCUUUGUGGUUAUUUAGCUAAUUGACUCAUAAAAUAACACAAUUCUUCCGUUUAUAAUUUUGUCUAAAAAUUUAUUUUCAAAUGGUUUUUGAUGAGAUGAACUCAUACUUGACCGAACUUGAUACAAAAUAAGAAGUGUUUCAAACACUGCAGAAAAUGAAUAGAGAUAAAUUUCAUGGCAAGGUGGUCUAAAGGUAGGAUACAAAAUUUUGGUUUAUUCUCUCACUUCUUAUAUGUUUAGAUAAAAAAACUUGUUUUACUUAACCUUUAAUAAUUCAACUCUAAAUGUAAAAGAUACUAAAAUUUAAAAUUAAAUAUAUUUUUAAGCACAAAAUAAAUUGAACAUCUUAUAAGUAAAGUACAAAGUAACACAUAAAAUUCAACAUUAUAUAGUAGUACCACUAUAAAUUAAUAUAUACAAUAAAUUACUAAAUUUUGUCAGUUUCGAAUUGGAUGAAU